AUUGAACGCUGGCGGCAUGCCUUACACAUGCAAGUCGAACGGUAACAGGUUAAGCUGACGAGUGGCGAACGGGUGAGUAACACAUCGGAACGUGCCCAAUCGUGGGGGAUAACGUAGCGAAAGCUACGCUAAUACCGCAUACGAUCUACGGAUGAAAGCGGGGGAUCGCAAGACCUCGCGCGAAUGGAGCGGCCGAUGGCAGAUUAGGUAGUUGGUGGGGUAAAGGCUCACCAAGCCGACGAUCUGUAGCUGGUCUGAGAGGACGACCAGCCACACUGGGACUGAGACACGGCCCAGACUCCUACGGGAGGCAGCAGUGGGGAAUUUUGGACAAUGGGCGCAAGCCUGAUCCAGCAAUGCCGCGUGCAGGAUGAAGGCCU
rnacentral:rRNA from 1 species